CCCAGACUCCUACGGGAGGCAGCAGUGGGGAAUAUUGCACAAUGGGGGAAACCCUGAUGCAGCGACGCCGCGUGAGCGAAGAAGUAUUUCGGUAUGUAAAGCUCUCUCAGCAGGGAAGAAAAUGACGGUACCUGACUAAGAAGCUCCGGCUAAAUACGUGCCAGCAGCCGCGGUAAUACGUAUGGAGCAAGCGUUAUCCGGAUUUACUGGGUGUAAAGGGAGCGCAGGCAGCUUUGCAAGUCUGAUGUGAAAGGCCGGGGCUCAACCCCGGGAGUGCAUUUGAAACUGCCAUGCUGGAGUGCCGGAGAGGUAAGCGGAAUUCCUAGUGUAGCGGUGAAAUGCGUAGAUAUUAGGAGGAACACCAGUGGCGGAGGCGGCUUACUGGACGGUAACUGACGCUGAGGCUCGAAAGCGUGGGGAGCAAACAGGAUUAGAUACCCGAGUA
rnacentral:rRNA from 1 species